rnacentral:piRNA from 1 species
UGUCUGUCUUCCAGGUUGCCUGGUUGCCC